ACUCCUACGGGAGGCAGCAGUGAGGAAUAUUGGUCAAUGGACGCAAGUCUGAACCAGCCAUGCCGCGUGCAGGAUGACGGUCCUAUGGAUUGUAAACUGCUUUUGUACGAGAAGAAACACUCCUAUGUAUAGGAGCUUGACGGUAUCGUAAGAAUAAGGAUCGGCUAACUCCGUGCCAGCAGCCGCGGUAAU
rnacentral:rRNA from 1 species